rnacentral:misc_RNA from 1 species
AAAGUCGUAACAAGGUUUCCGUAGGUGAACCUGCGGAAGGAUCAUUACUUUCAGUACUUUGGGGGCUGUCAGUCUAUAUCACUAUAGCAAGCCUCCGUCUGAAACCCUUGUCUUUUGCGUACCUUAUGUUUCCUCGGCGGGCUUGCCCGCCGGUUGGACAACCUUUAAACCUUUUUAAUUUUCAAUCAGCGUCUGAAAAAACAUAAUAAUUACAACUUUCAACAACGGAUCUCUUGGUUCUG